UCCCGUGUGGCUCAGUUGGUAGAGCAUGGUGUUCGCAACGCCAGGGUUGUGGGUCCGAUUCCCACAGGGGAC
rfam:Salmo salar isolate Sally breed double haploid chromosome ssa07, whole genome shotgun sequence.